UACAGAGGGUGCAAGCGUUGUUCGGAAUUACUGGGCGUAAAGCGCACGUAGGCGGCUACUCAAGUCAGAGGUGAAAGCCCGGGGCUCAACCCCGGAACUGCCUUUGAAACUAGGUAGCUAGAAUCUUGGAGAGGUCAGUGGAAUUCCGAGUGUAGAGGUGAAAUUCGUAGAUAUUCGGAAGAACACCAGUGGCGAAGGCGACUGACUGGACAAGCAUUGACGCUGAGGUGCGAAAGCGUGGGGAGCAAACAGG
rnacentral:rRNA from 1 species